rnacentral:snRNA from 1 species
AGCUCUGCGCAGGGGCAGCACCGCAGCCAAUGAGGUUCAUCCCAGGCGCGUUUAUUGCUAAUCGGAAAAAAAAGAAAC